rnacentral:rRNA from 1 species
GACGAACGCUGGCGGCGUGCUUAACACAUGCAAGUCGAACGGAAAGGCGCUGCUCUUGUGGGGUGCACGUGAGGCGAACGGGUGUGUAAAACGUGAGUAACCUGCACUUGACAUUGGGAUAACAUCAGGAAACUGGGGCUCAUACCGGAUAGGAGCUCCUGCUGCAUGGGGGGGGUUGGAAAGUUACGGCGGUGUGGGCUGGACUCGCGGCUUACCAGCUUGUUGGUGUGGUAGUGAAUGACAAGGGCUGUGACGGGUAGCCGGCAUGGGAGGGUGGCCGGCGUCAAUGGGACUGAGAGACGGCGCAGUCGCGUACGGGAGGCAGUGGGCGGGAAUAUGGCACAAUGGGCGGAAGCGUGAGGCAGCAACGCUGCGUGCGUGAUGAAGUCCUUCUAGUUGUAAACCUCUUUGGCCGGUGACGAAGCGUGAGUGACGGUAAUGGAUAAAGAAGCACCGGCUAACUACGUG